rnacentral:sRNA from 1 species
GCGGUGUAUACGGGCCAAGAGAGGGCGGCCAGA